UACGUAGGGUGCAAGCGUUUGUCCGGAAUUAUUGGGCGUAAAGAGCUCGUAGGCGGUUUGUCGCGUCUGCCGUGAAAGUCCGGGGCUCAACUCCGGAUCUGCGGUGGGUACGGGCAGACUAGAGUGAUGUAGGGGAGACUGGAAUUCCUGGUGUAGCGGUGAAAUGCGCAGAUAUCAGGAGGAACACCGGUGGCGAAGGCGGGUCUCUGGGCCGUAACUGACGCUGGAGGAGCGAAAGCCGUGGGGAGCGAACAGG
rnacentral:rRNA from 1 species